UGGGCAGGUUGAAGGUUGGGUAACACUAACUGGAGGACCGAACCGACUAAUGUUGAAAAAUUAGCGGAUGACUUGUGGCUGGGGGUGAAAGGCCAAUCAAACCGGGAGAUAGCUGGUUCUCCCCGAAAGCUAUUUAGGUAGCGCCUCGUGAAUUCAUCUCCGGGGGUAGAGCACUGUUUCGGCAAGGGGGUCAUCCCGACUUACCAACCCGAUGCAAACUGCGAAUACCGGAGAAUGUUAUCACGGGAGACACACGGCGGGUGCUAACGUCCGUCGUGAAGAGGGAAACAACCCAGACCGCCAGCUAAGGUCCCAAAGUCAUGGUUAAGUGGGAAACGAUGUGGGAAGGCCCAGACAGCCAGGAUGUUGGCUUAGAAGCAGCCAUCAUUUAAAGAAAGCGUAAUAGCUCACUGGUCGAGUCGGCCUGCGCGGAAGAUGUAACGGGG
rnacentral:rRNA from 1 species